AGCCCGUUAGCUAAGUUGGUUAAAGCAUCCGGCUCAUAACCGGAAGAUUUCGUGGUUUCGAGCACCACACGGGCUACCA
rnacentral:tRNA from 1 species